CAUAGCGACUAUCGUGGCAUAUCAAUAAGCGGAGGAAAAGAAACUAACAAGGAUUCCCUUAGUAACGGCGAGUGAAGCGGGAAGAGCUCAAAUUUGAAAUCUUCAAGGUUUUACCUUGACGAAUUGUAGUUUAAAGAAGUGUUUUCUGUUGAAGUUUUGGUAAAAGUUCUUUGGAAUAGGACAUCAUAGAGGGUGAGAAUCCCGUAUUUGACCAUUAUUUUCAGCUGUGUGAUACACUUUCAAAGAGUCGGAUUGUUUGGGAAUGCAGUCCAAAAUGGGUGGUAAAUUUCAUCUAAAGCUAAAUAUUGGCGAGAGACCGAUAGCGAACAAGUACCGUGAGGGAAAGAUGAAAAGAACUUUGAAAAGAGAGUUAAACAGUACGUGAAAUUGUCAAAAGGGAAGCGUUUGACACCAGUGUUGUUUUCUCGAAAAUCAAUUAAAAAAGGCCGGAUUUUGUGUUGUAUUGACCUUAAAAGCUUUCUUCACUCUUUUCUUGUCUUUUUUAAUGCACUUUUCGUUUAACAAGUCAACAUCAGUUUCUUUUGUUGUAAAAGGGUCAUUGGAAGGUGGCUUUCUUUUCGGAGAAAGUGUUUAUAGCCUUUGAUCUCUGCAACCGGAGAGACUGAGGUCUGCAGCGUAGACUCUUCGGGGUUAGAUACAUUUGUGCUAAGCUAUAGCUUUUUAUAGACAACUUGUUGACUAUAUUUAGUCUUGUGGCUUACUCGCUUAUGCUACUUUUACCUACGCUUAGGAUGUUGAUAGUCACAGCGUGUAC
rnacentral:rRNA from 1 species